rnacentral:tRNA from 1 species
GUCUGGCUAGCUCAGUUGGUAGAGCACUGGACUCCUGAUCUCAGGGCUUGUGAGUUCAAGCCCCAUGUUGGGUG